AUGAACGCUAGCGGCAGGCUUAACACAUGCAAGUCGAGGGGCAACACGGGUAGCAAUACCUGGUGGCGACCGGCGCAAGGGUGCGUAACGCGUGAGCAACAUGCCCUAUACAGUGGGAUAAUCCAGGGAAACUUGGUCUAAUAUCCCAUAGUAUUUAGAGGUGGCAUCACCACUAAAUUAAAGCUUCGGUGGUAUAGGAUUGGCUCGCGUGACAUUAGCUGGAUGGUGGGGUAACGGCUCACCAUGGCGAUGAUGUCUAGGGGUUCUGAGAGGAAGACCCCCCACACUGGGACUGAGACACGGCCCAGACUCCUACGGGAGGCAGCAGUGAGGAAUAUUGGACAAUGGAUGGAAAUCUGAUCCAGCCAUGCCGCGUGCAGGAAGACGGCCCUAUGGGUUGUAAACUGCUUUUAUAUGGGAGCAAUAAGGUUUACGCGUAGACCGAUGAGAGUACCAUAUGAAUAAGCAUCGGCUAACUCCGUG
rnacentral:rRNA from 1 species